UACGGAGGGGGUUAGCGUUGUUCGGAAUGACUGGGCGUAAAGCGCGCGUAGGCGGAUCAUCAAGUCGGGGGUGAAAUCCCGGGGCUCAACCCCGGAAUGGCCUUCGAGACUGGUGGUCUUGAGUAUGGAAGAGGUGAGUGGAAUUGCGAGUGUAGAGGUGAAAUUCGUAGAUAUUCGCAGGAACACCAGUGGCGAAGGCGGCUCACUGGUCCAUAACUGACGCUGAGGUGCGAAAGCGUGGGGAGCAAACAGG
rnacentral:rRNA from 1 species